CCUACGGGAGGCAGCAGUGAGGAAUAUUGGUCAAUGGCCGGAAGGCUGAACCAGCCAUGCCGCGUGAAGGUCAGUGCCCUAUGGGCGUUAAACUUCUUUUGUGCGGGAGCAAUAAUGGUCACGUGUGGCCAGACGAGAGUACCGUACGACUAAGCAUCGGCUAACUCCGUGCCAGCAGCCGCGGUGAUACGGGGGAUGCAAGCGUUUUCCGGAUUUAUUGGGGUUAAAGGAUGCGUAAGCUGUGAGGUAAGUCAGCGGGGGAAUGCCCCCGCUCAACGGGGUGAAGUGCCAUUGAUACUGCCGUGCUGGAAUGCGGAUGCGGUGGGAGGAAUGUGUGGUGUAGCGGUGAAAUGCAUAGAUAUCACACAGAACACCGAUUGCGAAGGCAGCUCACGGAUUCGCGAUUGACGCUGAUGCACGAAAGCGUGGGUAGCAAACAGGAUUAGAUACCCCAGUAGUC
rnacentral:rRNA from 1 species